AGGGAUUGGCAUGGGCGAAAGCCUGAUCAGCAAUGCCGCGUGUGUGAAGAAGGCCUUCGGGUUGUAAAGCACUUUUGUCCGGAAAGAAAUCCUUUGGGUUAAUACCUCGGGGGGAUGACGGUACCGGAAGAAUAAGCACCGGCUAACUCCGUGCCAGCAGCCGCGGUAAUACGUAGGGUGCAAGCGUUAAUCGGAAUUACUGGGCGUAAAGCGUGCGCAGGCGGUUUUGUAAGACGGAUGUGAAAUCCCCGGGCUUAACCUGGGAACUGCAUUCGUGACUGCAAGGCUAGAGUAUGGCAGAGGGGGGUAGAAUUCCACGUGUAGCAGUGAAAUGCGUAGAGAUGUGGAGGAAUACCGAUGGCGAAGGCAGCCCCCUGGGCCAAUACUGACGCUCAUGCACGAAAGCGUGG
rnacentral:rRNA from 1 species